rnacentral:rRNA from 1 species
UACAGAGGGGGCAAGCGUUGUUCGGAAUUACUGGGCGUAAAGGGCGCGUAGGCGGCCUGUUAAGUCGAACGUGAAAUCCCCGGGCUCAACCCGGGAACUGCGUCCGAUACUGGCAGGCUUGAAUCCGGGAGAGGGAUGCGGAAUUCCGGGUGUAGUGGUGAAAUGCGUAGAGAUCCGGAGGAACACCAGUGGCGAAGGCGGCUCGCUGGGCUCUACCUGACGCUGAGGCGCGAAAGCGUGGGGAGCGAACAGG